GCUCCUCGACCCCUGAACGAAGUGAGUCAGGCUCCUCGACCCCUGAACGAAGUGAGGCUCCUCGACAGCGGCGCCUUGCCCGGCAGCGAGGGCGCAGCUAAAGGCAUCUCCUGCAAGGUGCCCGGAUGAAACGGUUCCCUUGGCAAGCCUCGGCUAAACCUGCUACAGGGGCAGCACAGAAAGGACCCGGAGGGGUCGUUAGGUCAGUUGGGUGCUGGGGAGACGCCUGUGAAAUAAGGUAGGAAUCCUGUAGGCAUUGGCCAAGGCAUAGUAAAGAACUCGUAAGCAAGUACAAGUAAGGCCUGGAGAGUGAAGUGAGAAGAGUGCCCAGCUGCAGCCCUUUGCCUGCAGCAGGACGAAGGCUGUCACUCCUCUGGGCUGCCCCGGCCGUUCUCCUGCUGAGGAGGAGAGGCGAGAGCACCAAACUCUACCUUCAAAAUACCCCCAAACCACAUAAUACAAAUGGAGAUCUCUUGCAUGCAGAAGCUGAGCACUCUUCAUCUCUGUAACAACGGAGAAGUGAGCAGCCAGGAGAUCCGAGGGCAAAGGCCAAGGCAGCAGAGCCCCAGGAUGCUGCACAAGGAUGCUGCAGUGAUGAUGUUUGACACCUCAUGGAAGUAAAAGAGGUCUGGAGAGGUUUUCCUCCUCGUUCUUCUUCUCAGUGCUGCGGGGAGUGAAUGAAAAAGUGCUGUUGUCCAUGAGAAAGGCAGCCUUGUGAGGCAGGAAUCAGCAGGUCUUCAGGCACUUUAUCGUUUUGGAGUGAAGAUGAAGCCAUGAGGACACUGAAAUGAGCCAAAGGCUGUCCUGAACCUUCCUGUGCUCACGUGAUAACCUGCUCUCUGCAUCUCCACACAUGUAUUCCUCAGCACUUCACUUCCCCUGCAAACCCCACUGCUGUAUCACUGCUGUGUCUUGGCUUUGAGCUAUGCAGUUGUUUCGAUCUCACAUCUAGGGACACGAGGAGCACUAAUUAAACGUACCUGUGCCGUGAGAUUGACAAGCAUAACAGUUUUGACCACUAUCUAACAGGAUUUUUUUUUCUCUUACUGAAAAACUAAAGUAAUCUUUAAUUAAAAAUGCCACAAUUUGAAUAACUUUUGAUGGCACCGAGAUUAAAGAACAUUCUGUCUGGGAGCUCUCAUCACAAAGCCAUGAGACCAGCGUGCACUAAUAACACAGUCAAACGAAGAGCCUACAAAAGAGUUUAACAUUUGCCACUUGUUUGCUCAGUUUGCUCUGUGCUUGUGCAGAAAGAACAACUACAUACUUUGCAAAGGGCAGAAACAAAAGCAUCAGUCUCUGGCCAUUCGGGUGGUGCCCCUGCCCUUAAUGCACGUCAGUACUGCUGCCUAGCUCCUGGCAUGCAGGUGGACUCUAUCCCCUAAGUGACUCAUCAUGUUACAAAGUUUGUUUGCUCUAUGGUCCGUGAGCAGCAACGGCAAUAACAAAAUCCCCUCUGGUUGUCCAAAAACUUGAACAGUCCUGGAAUACAUCACCUUUGUGCUAGCUAAGUUACAGGCAGCUGAGCUGUGGAGUGGACGAGGAACAGGCACAGCAGUUGUCUCUCGGCUGGAUCCGUGUGAGAGACAUUUUUGCGUGGCCUGGGCCAAAAUGGCCCUGAAACGUCGUGAUUCAGUGACAGAGCUUGUCCCAGGGAACGUUUCUGGCUUUCCACAUGCAGAGGAUUAUCUGACCAAUUCUGAGGUCUGGAAGCCGCCACCGAUCCUCGCAGCCAGUGGCCAGUUUGUCCCCCUUCCAAGAGCCCGAGGCUUCGACUUGCUCUGCCCAGACUGCCCUGGGACAUACCCUCUCUGAGGGUACAGACAGCACAUGCCACUGCAGCACUGCUGGGCCUUCCAGGCCAGCAGGGAGCCUCCUUUGCUGCCGACUGCUUGGGGAGCUGGAAGAGCGUGAAGCAGGGACACCAGCCCUACGCCAGGUGCCUGCCAGCAGCGGGGCAGCGUUUGCCUCGCUGCCCAGGCUGCGCUGCUGUGGCUGGCACGGAGCACGGCACUCCUGGCUGGGGUCCAGCCGGCCCUGGGCGUGUGAGGCACAGACAGUGCCUGGCAGACUUGCAGGUAUUUUUCUUGAAUAAAAGGGAAGGUUUCCAUAGAAACUUCUCCUUUAUUUUAAACAGAUUUAAAAGAGGAAUUUAGCAAGCUAUAAAACCAAGCUUCCAGAGCCCAGUUGAAGCUGUUCCUCAUCGACUGCACUACAGCUGAACAUAAGAGCCUGCAGCCUGGAGCUGACAGCGACAGACAGGCUUCUGCCAGCUCCCUUGCUCCUUCUAUCAGUGCAUAACCUCUCUUAGGUGACAGUGGCAGUGACACACAGUUUCUAGCACCCUCCAUUUCAUGAAAGAACUUCCUUAGAGCAUCUCAUCUAAGGGCUCUUUGUGUGUUCAUGAAACCACAUUUCCUGGACUUGAAAUGCAGCGCAGACAUCAGCCUUAUUCUGCACAGCCCUCGCUGGAAAGUCAGCUUCACAGAAGAGCACAGCAGAUGCGAAAUGGCCUCCUCUGCUGCACUACAUUUCCCAGCACACCGAGGUGCAGGAGGCAGGGCUCAGACCUCUCUGCUGGCUGGAGGUGAGGCAGAUGGCAUCCCCUCCCUUGCAAGGGACUCCUGCAGCAGAAAAGGCAUCUGGAGGAGGCAGUUAAAUCGGCCUCUUGGACACGGGCAAAGGCAGUUUACAUCAGCAAAAGCAAACCAAGGUCCCGUUUGUCAGGCAGCCAGCUUUGCACCGGCUCCUUUUAAAGACACAUCCACUUGCCCUCCCCCUCAUAGUUCCUUGGGGCGCUUCUUUAAUAUUCACCAUGCAGUAAAAGUGGAGAUCUUAAAAACAGCCUUCUUUGGUUGUCUGUUUUUCCCUUUCUUAUUACUCUGUGAAGCUUUUAAUCGCCAUUUAGUCAAAAUGCAACCGAUGUACCCGUGAGGAGCAGGUGCAAAGCGUUCCGAGCUGUUUCAGAGCAGCGCUGCAAGCUGGCAGUGCGCUGUGCGCUCCUGCGGUGCCCUGCUGCUCUUCCGCUCCACCCUGCUCAAAGCGCUGCUCUCCUUGCCCGCUGCGCUCAAGUUUUCACUGAAGAGCAAGUCCCUGUGAUCGAGGGGAUGGACUAAUUCAUCAGGGGUAACAGCCACGGGCACGCAGCCCUUUGGUGACCCAGGAGACAGAUUGCUUCGCAUUUCUGUUUGGUUUUGUUUUUCAGUGGAAAAUAAAGCACAGCCAAACACAUGCUCCAUGAGAGAGGGUCAGCUUUUGAUCCUGGAGUGCCCCAAACGUUGGAGGUUAGCACAUUUUGCCCACACAGUGCUGGUUUGCAUUUGCUCUGCCAGAAGAGGACUCAGAGUCCUCAGGAGCAGCGCAGGAGGCUGGAAGAAUGCAUGGCACAACCUCUCGGCUGCAGAGAGCAGCAGGGAUGGGCUGCCUGUACAGACAGCCCUUUGCCACUUGGCACCACUGGGCUUCUGCUGCUUGCUUCGUCUUCUGAAAGAGCCCCUCUUCCACUCUCAGCAAGAAUAAAGUGAGAUACUAGUGUCAA